rnacentral:lncRNA from 1 species
UUCACCUUUCCCCAGGAACGGUCUUGGCUGUGUUUGGCUCUGUGAAGGAUGACGGUAAGUUUCAGGUUGAGGACCACUGCUUUGCUGACCUGGCUCCACAGAAUCCUGUGCCCCCACUUGACACAGACAGGUGAGGAGCCCAACUCCAGUACCCCAGGGACUGCGGUGGGAGGACCUGCCUCACUCCUCCAGCAGCCUGCAAGACCUCACCAUCCUCUGCAGAUUUGUGCUACUGGUGUCCGGACUGGGCCUGGGCGGCGGUGGCGGGGAGAGCCUCCUGGGCACGCAGCUGCUGGUAGACGUGGUGACGGGACAGCUUGGGGACGAAGGGGAGCAGUGCAGCGCUGCCCACGUCUCUCGAGUCAUCCUUGCAGGCAACCUCCUCAGUCAUAACACCCAGAGCCGAGAUUCCAUCAAUAA